rnacentral:pre_miRNA from 1 species
AACAUACUCCCUCCGUCCAAUAAAAGAUGUCUCAAGUUUGUCAAAAUUUGGAUGUAUUUAGACAUGACUUAGUGUAUAGAUGCAUUCAAAUUUAGUCAAAGUUGAGACAUCCUUUGUUGGACGGAGGAAGUAUAUA